rnacentral:piRNA from 1 species
UCUCUCACUGUGGAAAGUUGGCC